rnacentral:tRNA from 1 species
AGGGAAAUAGCUCAGUGGUAGAGCGCAUGCUUAGCAUGCAUGAGGUCCUGGGUUCAAUCCCCAGUAUCUUCA